rnacentral:tRNA from 1 species
GGGUCGAUGCCCGAGUGGUUAAUGGGGGCGGAUUGUAAAUCCGCUGGUUUACCUACGCUGGUUCAAAUCCAGCUCGGCCCA